rnacentral:rRNA from 1 species
CCUACGGGAGGCAGCAGUGAGGAAUAUUGGACAAUGGGCGAAAGCCUGAUCCAGCCAUGCCGCGUGCAGGAUGACUGCCCUAUGGGUUGUAAACUGCUUUUAUAUAGGAAGAAAAACUUUCUCGUGAGAAAGCUUGACGGUACUAUAAGAAUAAGGAUCGGCUAACUCCGUGCCAGCAGCCGCGGUAAUACGGAGGAUCCAAGCGUUAUCCGGAAUCAUUGGGUUUAAAGGGUCCGUAGGUGGACAAAUAAGUCAGAGGUGAAAUCCUGCAGCUCAACUGUAGAACUGCCUUUGAUACUGUUUGUCUUGAGUUAUUAUGAAGUGGUUAGAAUGUGUAGUGUAGCGGUGAAAUGCAUAGAUAUUACACGGAAUACCGAUUGCGAAGGCAGAUCACUAAUAAUUAACUGACACUGAGGGACGAAAGCGUGGGUAGCGAACAGGAUUAGAUACCCUGGUAGUCCACGCCGUAAACGAUGGUCACUAGCUGUUUGGACUUCGGUCUGAGUGGCUAAGCGAAAGUGAUAAGUGACCCACCUGGGGAGUACGUUCGCAAGAAUGAAACUCAAAGGAAUUGACGG